rnacentral:rRNA from 1 species
UACGUAGGGCGCAAGCGUUGUCCGGAAUUAUUGGGCGUAAAGAGCUCGUAGGCGGCCUGUUGCGUCCGCUGUGAAAUCCCGGGGCUCAACCCCGGGCCUGCAGUGGAUACGGGCUGGCUAGAGGCAGGCAGGGGAGAACGGAAUUCCUGGUGUAGCGGUGAAAUGCGUAGAUAUCAGGAGGAACACCGGUGGCGAAGGCGGCUACCUGGACAGAAACUGACGCUGAGGCACGAAAGCUAGGGGAGCAAACAGG